AAACCGUUCAGGGGUAAACCUGAGAAACCUAAAAGAUCGAACGGGGAGAUUCAGCGUCAGCGGGGCUGGCUUCCGCGCGGUGCGCAGCGUCCGGCGACUUCGGUCUCGGGCGCGCCGCCGUCGCGCGAUGUCCGGUCUCCGUCGGCGUGCACUUCUCCCCUAGUAGAACGUCGCGACCCGUUGGGCGUCGGUCUAAGAUCCUUGGGGUGGAGCCUGUGUCGUCUCUUCGCAAGAGGAGCGAUGCAGACCCCUGGUAAUCCGACCGACCGCUCGGCGGUAUCCGUAAGGCAUUGAGUCGCACUCUGUGUUAGUGCGUCCCGGCCCGUCGCAAGCGCGAUCAGUGUAACUCGGUGCGAACGGACCUAGCGCCGUCCCCGAGCCUGGUUCGCUGUUGGUUGACGGUGUCCUCGGACGGGCUCUCCUAUGCCGGUCGGCGACGCUACUGCUUUGGGUACUUUCAGGA
rnacentral:rRNA from 1 species